rnacentral:rRNA from 1 species
CCUACGGGAGGCAGCAGUGGGGAAUAUUGCACAAUGGGGGAAACACUGAUGCAGCGACGCCGCGUGAGUGAAGAAGUAUUUCGGUAUGUAAAGCUCUAUCAGCAGGGAAGAAAAUGACGGUACCUGAUUAAGAAGCCCCGGCUAACUACGUGCCAGCAGCCGCGGUAAUACGUAGGGGGCGAGCGUUAUCCGGAUUUACUGGGUGUAAAGGGAACGUAGACGGCAGCACAAGUAGAGAGUGAAAGGCCGGGGCUUAACCCUGGUACUGCUAUGGAAACUGUGCAGCUAGAGUGCAGGAGAGGUUAGCAGAAUUCCUGGUGUAGCGGGGAAAUGCGUAGAUAUUAGGAGGAAUACCAGUGGCGAAGGCGGCUUACUGGACUGUAACUGACGUUGAGGCUCGAAAGCGUGGGGAGCAAACAGGAUUAGAUACCCCAGUAGUC